rnacentral:tRNA from 1 species
GGGGUUAUGGCUCAGUGGUAGAGCGCUUGCCUUGCAUGCACAAGGACCUGGGUUUGAUCCUCAGCACCA